UACGUAGGGCGCAAGCGUUGUCCGGAAUUAUUGGGCGUAAAGAGCUCGUAGGCGGUGUGUCGCGUCGGCCGUGAAAACCUGCAGCUUAACUGUGGGCUUGCGGUCGAUACGGGCAUCACUGGAGUUCGGCAGGGGAGACUGGAAUUCCUGGUGUAGCGGUGGAAUGCGCAGAUAUCAGGAGGAACACCGGUGGCGAAGGCGGUUCUCUGGGAAUGUCCUGACGCUGAGGAGCGAAAGUGUGGGGAGCGAACAGG
rnacentral:rRNA from 1 species